rnacentral:rRNA from 1 species
UACGUAGGGGGCAAGCGUUGUCCGGAUUUAUUGGGCGUAAAGAGCGUGUAGGCGGUUUGGUAGGUCCGCUGUGAAAACUCGAGCUCAACCUCGAGACGCCGGUGGAAACCAUCAGACUAGAGUCCGGAAGAGGAGAGUGGAAUUCCUGGUGUAGCGGUGAAAUGCGCAGAUAUCAGGAAGAACACCCGUGGCUAAGGCGGCUCUCUAGUACGGUACUGACGCUGAGACGCGAAAAGCGUGGGGGAGCGAACAGG